rnacentral:lncRNA from 1 species
AUUAAUGAGCUCAGAUCUAACGCUCCUUUUUUUUUGCAUUUUUUAUUUUCUGAUUUUAUUUUCUUUAAUUCCUUUUUAUUUCAAAAAUCAAUAUCUCUUUCAUUUUUAAUCCAAAAAUCAUGGGACCAAUUGCAUUAGUCUCCAAAUAAAUUCUAGUUUCUAUUUCUGAUUUUUAAUUUUUUUAUUUUGUCAUUUGAUAUUUUUUGUGAAUUUUCUCUUUUCUGGUUAUUUUUAAUUCAUUUUAAAUAGUUUUUGAUAUUCAAAAAAU